GUUUUUCAUGUAAAAUAUCAUCUGUGGUUGCCAGAAUGUAGGCUAAAUUGCUGUGCAAUGAAGAAGACAUAGUAAGCAACCUGAAUUAGUUGACGUUUUCAGUGUUUUUUCUGUUUUGGUUUAUAUUUUGUAACGAUUUGUAUUGUAGAAAAAAUAGUUUGUAAAUUAAUUGGUCUACAUACAUACCUACAUACUAAAAACUAAUAAUAAGAAAGUAGAACAGUAAAAUGGGAAUUUGCACUGUGAGUGGUAACCGUUUAAUCAUAUCAGGCAACAGAAAAUUAUUGUUUUCACUCAUAUAUAGAAGAAAACUGAUUAAGUACAGGAAAAAUUUACUAAUGACUUCGAAUAACUUACUAAUGACCUAGACUAAAAUUGGCAAAUCUCUGCAACGAUUAUUGUUUAUGUAGGUAAAUUAAUAUAAAUAUGGGCAAGUUUUAAAAUAAAUCAACAAAGCAGAUUCGCAUUUA